ensembl:lncRNA
CUUUCCCUGGAACUGCCCCAGAGAUGGUGGGGAGGUUGACAGAGCUUGACAGUGUUCAGCCCCUCACUUCUGCCGCCUGGUUCCUUCCUGCUUCCUCCCUAAGGCUUUUAAACCCUUUACAGGCAUCCAAUUUCCAUUUCAGAAGUCCACCUGGGCAUCUCAGCAGGAACUGUCCUGGAAACACUUCAUACGUCAUGCAGUGCCCUGUCUGCCGGAGCUGGAUUGUGGUUUCUGCCUGCUGCCCCGUAACUUCGUAACUUCGGCUGCCCUAGCCCUGGGGGAGGAGGGCAGUGCCGCUGAGUCACUGCCUGAGCCUCUGGGCCUGGAACCUCGGCCCCCAGCUGCCUCCUGGUU